AAGGUGAAGAGGUGAGGAAUAAGUUUGCUCAUUUUAUUAUCACUAGUUGCAGUCUCCAGCUGUCUCUGUUGCAGGCAGAAGCCUCCAGUGUAGCUCAGAGGAAGUCUGCUCCAAAUCAUCCCAAAUGACAGUGUCUCCAAGGUGCUAAUACAGCAGUGGAGACCAGCUGGAUAUGGAGGUUUCUCACGAAUGCCCUUUUCUUGGCUUUAGGGAUGGAGGAGCUGUGCAGGAGCCGCUGUGCUGGUGGCAGGCCAGGAGAUGAUCUCCUUGCACUGGGGUGAUCCUCUCUUGGCUGGGUCUUCCAGCCUCAGGGCUGUUUGCAUUGUGAGGAUGGCACAAAGCAGCCUUACUUCAGGGAAGGAUUGGGGCCUGGGCCUUAUCUCACUUUGAUUAUAUUAAAUAAUCUAUCUGUCUGCCAUGCUAUUUACAUAACUCUUAUUUAAAUACUUUUACAUCAGACACACUGAAUCAUGAGACUGAAAGUCUAGACGAUGCUUGCUAGGCUCAGCCUGCCUUUAACCCUCCUGUGUUGGCAUUUUUCUUGUGUUUCCCUUCAGGAUUACCCUGCUCUGCCUUUGGCCGCUGAGGGACAUAUGAAGUUGGUGGUCCCAGGAUUUCAGAGUGAGCAGAAUGAAAUUGCUGAGAUAACAGCUGAAAAUGUUAAACAAACCAGAGCUCUGUCAGGACCCUGCUAGACAAUUCAUCCAAACACAUCAUCUUACAACUCUGAUAAAAGGAUCUGUUGGAUUUUCUUUUGGAUGAGCUAGUUCAUUUGUAUUUGCUGCAUGUUAAUGUGAGUGGAAAGCACUGAGAUCUAAACAAGUUAGAUGAAUCAUUCCAAUGAAGCUAUUUUCAAGAAAGAGCAUUAUGAAAAAUGGAGAGCCAUGGACAAUCUGCUCUGAUUGAGGACUCAAUUUUGACUUGGGCAGUGCUAAAACAGUGUGUGUUUGCAAGCUAUUGCGUAACAGGCAGUAGGAACUACUGGACUCUGAAGACUCUUGUAUUGCCCUGUUUGUUGGUAAAGAGAUGGAAAGAAUUGCUCUGAGACAUCUCUUCCUGGGCUGACUGGUGCAUCCAGAAGAAAAAAGGGAGUGAGAAGAACAAUAUCCUUUUGCCCAUUCACAAAAUUUGAAUACAGGCUUUUACUUGGGUUUCUUUUUGACUCUCCCAAACAUCAUCAGUUGACAUAUUUUCCACUGCCAUUUAAAAAUCCUGCUUUGUUAUAGUAAGAUUUAUAAAAAGAAUAAACAAGGCAGCAAAAAUACA
rnacentral:lncRNA from 1 species